AGAGUUUGAUCCUGGCUCAGGAUGAACGCUGGCGGCGUGCCUAACACAUGCAAGUCGAGCGGGAAAUUUCGGACAGAGACUUCGGUUGAAGGAAGAAAUGGAUAGCGGCGGACGGGUGAGUAACGCGUAGGCAACCUGCCCUUCACAGAGGGAUAGCCACUGGAAACGGUGAUUAAUACCUCAUAACGCAAGUCAAUCACAUGGUUGAUUUGCCAAAGAUUUAUCGGUGAGGGAUGGGCCUGCGUCUGAUUAGUUAGUUGGUGGGGUAACGGCCUACCAAGGCAACGAUCAGUAGCCGACCUGAGAGGGUAAUCGGCCACAUUGGAACUGAGACACGGUCCAAACUCCUACGGGAGGCAGCAGUGGGGAAUAUUGCACAAUGGGCGCAAGCCUGAUGCAGCAACGCCGCGUGAGCGAAGAAGGUCUUCGGAUCGUAAAGCUCUGUCCUUGAGGAAGAAGGAAGUGACGGUACUCUAGGAGGAAGCCCCGGCUAACUACCUUGCCAGCAGCCGCGGUAAUACCUAGGUGGCGAGCGUUAUCCGGAAUGAUUUGGGCGUAAAGGGUGCGCACGCGGUCCUGCAAGUUCUGGAGUGAAACGCAUGAGCUCAACUCACGCUUGGCUUUGGAAAACUGGAGGACUGGAGAGCAGGAGAGGGCGGUGGAACUCCAUGUGUAGCGGUAAAAUGCGUAGAUAUAUGGAAGAACACCAGUGGCGAAGGCGGCCGCCUGGCCUGUUGCUGACGCUGAGGCACGAAAGCGUGGGGAGCAAAUAGGAUUAGAUACCCUAGUAGUCCACGCCGUAAACGAUGAGGACCAAGUGUUGGGGGUGAAACCUCAGUGCUGAAGUUAACGCAGUGAGUCCUCCGCCUGGGGAGUAUGCACGCAAGUGUGAAACUCAAAGGAAUUGACGGGGGCCCGCACAAGCGGUGGAGUAUGUGGUUUAAUUCGAAGCAACGCGAAGAACCUUACCAGGCCUUGACAUGGGAUGCGAAGAUGCAGAGAUGCAUCGGAGGUCAACAUCCACACAGGUGGUGCAUGGUUGUCGUCAGCUCGUGUCGUGAGAUGUUGGGUCAAGUCCCGCAACGAGCGCAACCCUUGUGGCAUGUUGCUAACAGGAAAAGCUGAGGACUCAUGCCAGACUGCCGGUGACAAACCGGAGGAAGGCGGGGAUGACGCCAAAUCAUCAUGCCCCUUAUGGCCUGGGCUACACACGUACUACAAUGGCGGCUACAAAGAGCAGCGAGACAGGGAUGUCGAGCGAAUCUCAUAAAAGCCGUCCCAGUUCGGAUUGGAGGCUGCAACCCGCCUCCAUGAAGUUGGAAUCGCUAGUAAUCGCGGAUCAGCAUGCCGCGGU
rnacentral:rRNA from 1 species